rnacentral:rRNA from 1 species
AUUGAACGCUGGCGGCAGGCUUAACACAUGCAAGUCGAGCGAGCGGCGGACGGGUGAGUGAUGUCUGGGAAACUGCCUGAUGGAGGGGGCUAACUACUGGAAACGGUAGAUAAUACCGCAUACCAUCAGAUGUGGCCAGAUGGGAUGAGCUAGUAGGUGGGGUAAUGGCUCACCUAGGCUACGAUCCCUAGCUGGUCUGAGAGGAUGAUCAGCCACACUGGAACUGAGACACGGUCCAGACUCCUACGGGAGGCAGCAGUGGGGAAUAUUGCACAAGGGGCGCAAGCCUGAUGGAGCAAUGCCGCGUGUGUGAAGAAGACCUUCGGGUUGUAAAGCACUUUCAGCGAGGAGGCGUUACUCGCAGAAGAAGCACCGGCUAACUCCGUGCCAGCAGCCGCGGUAAUUC